rnacentral:rRNA from 1 species
GUGUCAGCAGCCGCGGUAAUACGAAGGGUGCAAGCGUUACUCGGAAUUACUGGGCGUAAAGCGUGCGUAGGUGGUUUGUUAAGUCUGAUGUGAAAGCCCUGGGCUCAACCUGGGAACGGCAUUGGAUACUGGCUUACUAGAGUGCGGUAGAGGGUAGUGGAAUUCCCGGUGUAGCAGUGAAAUGCGUAGAUAUCGGGAGGAACAUCUGUGGCGAAGGCGACUACCUGGACCAGCACUGACACUGAGGCACGAAAGCGUGGGGAGCAAACAGGAUUAGAUACCCUGGUAGUCCACGCCCUAAACGAUGCGAACUGGAUGUUGGGUGCAACUUGGCACUCAGUAUCGAAGCUAACGCGUUAAGUUCGCCGCCUGGGGAGUACGGUCGCAAGACUGAA